rnacentral:rRNA from 1 species
UUUAUGGAGAGUUUGAUCCUGGCUCAGGAUGAACGCUGGCGGCGUGCCUAAUACAUGCAAGUCGAGCGAACGGACGAGAAGAUUGCUUCUCUGAUGUUAGCGGCGGACGGGUGAGUAACACGUGGAUAACCUACCUAUAAGACUGGGAUAACUUCGGGAAACCGGAGCUAAUACCGGAUAAUAUUUUGAACCGCAUGGUUCAAAAGU